UCCUAGGGCUAAAACCACACAUUGGCAGUGUCUUAUAGCAAAAUUUGCCUAGGUAAAAUCGUCGACGCGCGGCUUCAAUAUUUGUGUGCGCCAUUGAAGAGCCGCCGACGCCUAUUUUAGACCCCUCGUAGUUGAUCAUGGCAGCAAGAGGAAUCAAGAGAAAAUGUCCAUCCCCUCAACCUCUCCUCUGUACCUCCCCCUCUUUAGUGUCGCCCAUUGACGCCGGCAAGUUGGGAGAGGUUUCAGCUGACCUGGAAUCGAGCCAAGAUUCUAGCAAGUUGUACAUCUUCGACGUUGUGUCUGGAGCCACUGCAGAAGACGAUGUGGAGCUCAUCGCUCGUGCGCUCUCAUCCGUAGCUGCCAACAACCCUGAAGCAGUCUGUUAGUUCAUCCGCUGCCUCACGCCGGAGAAGGUUGUGCGCUCGUUGGAUUGGGACCUCCUCAAAUCCGACAAACUAAGAAAGAUGGCUGGCGGAGGGCACACUCACUGGACUAAGGACGAACUGCAAGCGUUCCUAGAGAGCUACAUGGAGGAAAUUGCAGCUCGCAACAUCACAUCGUCUUGCCCCAAAGCUCAGGGGUAUGCCAACUCGCAAGCUUAGAUGCUGGCCAAGGUAGGAAAGCAGGUCACUAGGCAGCAGGCAGCAGGUGAAGAAUUUCUAGGAUGGUUGCCGCCGCCGAUUCUAGACAUGGACAUGGCUGGAAUCUAUGGCAACUGGGCUAGGAAGGAACCCCUACACUGGCAGCAUCGGCGCCAGCCCAGAGUGGUGGGAAUCAAUGGAAGGGAUGAGGAGAGGGGCAAGAUCAUUUAUGCGUGGUCAUGUCAGAUUCAUUUAUGAACACCAUGCUGUUUUCAGAGGGAGGACUGUUGUCGGCAACCGUUCAAGUGUUCCUGUAGCUGAACCUGAAUAGCAGCUGCUGCCAGCCAACCCUGGUGUCAUUGAUGUUUAGCACCUUGUCAACUUGUCGGAGUCGCCACCAUCAUCUGAGCCACCAUCAAGGCUUAUCAGGCGUAGGGACAAAAGUGUGGCAACACCGAGUAGUGGAUCUAGGGGUUCCAAAAAGACCCACAGUGACUCCACAGGUGAGGCUUUGUAGAGGCUCGCAAAUCUUAGGGUUAAGUCCAGUGAGAGCAAAGCACAAAAGCAGCGGGAGUAAGAGGUGAGGAGUGCUAGGGCUUGCAUUGUGCUGAUCAAGUGUGACCCCUACUUUUACGAGUUAUUCCUUGGUGAUGCCAUUACUCAGGAGAUGCGUGAGUAUUACAUUCUCUUCCACUAUGCCAUGAAGUUUCCUAAUGGUGGAGGUUUUCCCUCUACCAUCAUGCUCAGGAGGUUGGUUUCCACCUGGUGGUGGAGGGUUUGAUGGGGACGAUGGGGGUGACCCUGGGGAUGAUGGCACUGGGGGAGCUGAUGGUGCAACAUUGUGCUGAUGGGGGAUGGAGCUGGUAGUGUUGCUGCUGCUGGGAGCGUUGUGUGCUGUGUGUUGUAUGCCGAAGCUGAUGGGAGUGUGCUGCUAUGUGCUGUGUGUGAUGCUGUGAGGUGUGUGCUGUUGUUGUGAGCUGCAGUUUGCAGUUGAGUGCUAGCUGCUAUUAAGUGCAAAAGCUGAUGUUUGCUGCUGCAGGAGGCUAAAGCUCAAGUGUGCUCAAGCAACCUUUUUAUUCCAUCGUGAUGAUAGUUGAAUAAUGUGUUCGAUUUUAAAAUCAACACUUGUGAUAAACGUUGUAUGCAUGUUUAUUUGUAUGUAUGUAUGAAUAAUGUGGCACACAUUGCAUUUGAUAUUUGAGUUGCUUGGUUUAAUGGAAUAAUUUAUUUA